rnacentral:rRNA from 1 species
UCGCCUGUUUAUCAAAAACAUGUCCUUAUGAUGAUAAUUUAAGGUCUGACCUGCCCACUGAAUUUAAUUUAAAGGGCCGCGGUAUUUUGACCGUGCAAAGGUAGCAUAAUCAUUAGUCUUUUAAUUGGAGGCUGGAAUGAAUGGUUGGACGAGGCAUUGACUGUCUCAGUAUAAGUGUUUUUAGAAUUUAACUUUUAAGUCAAAAGGCUUAAAUUUAUUUAAAGGACGAGAAGACCCUAUAGAGCUUUAUAAUUAAUAAUUAUAAUUUAUUUGGUGGAAUUUAUGUUAUAGUUUGUCAAUUAUUUUGUUGGGGUGACAGGAAGAUAAAUAAAACUCUUUUUAAUUUUAACCAUUGAUUUAUGAAUUGUUGAUCCAUUAUUAGUGAUUAUAAGACUAAGUUACCUUAGGGAUAACAGCGUAAUUUUUUUUGAGAGUUCUUAUCGACAAAAAAGGUUGCGACCUCGAUGUUGGAUUAAGGGUAAUUUUGGGUGUAGAUGUUCAAAGUUUAGGUCUGUUCGACCUUUAGAUCCUUACAUGAUCUGAGUUCAAACCGGAGA